rnacentral:misc_RNA from 1 species
UCUUGGACAUGCCUUGCAUGGCAGGCUCCCCGCGCGUACGUGCGGCCAACUGUCAUGGGGCUGUCUUCUCAGUGUCCCCGCGUUCAUCCAUUUUGGUUGCUCGGGGGUCUCCGAUUUGGUUGCCUGUGCGGUCUUACCGUCGUCGGUAGCACAAUUGUCCCGUUGUUGCGUAUUUCGCCYGCUCUGUUGAUGCUAUGCAUCAAUGGGCGGCCGAGGCGUUGGCAAACUCCAUGUGCGGCGAUACACUCUGUGCGUHGGACCUGCUCCCCGGAUGUUUGCCGGGUCUCACGGAUAUCAGUACCUACGCUGAVUGGUCUGAGGGCUUCACGCNCGCAGGCUCACGGUGUUGCCCAUACACAUUAGUUUGUUGCCGAUGCYUCGUCGACAUGAUUCAUGUCGAGGAAUCUCACUCGGCMCAUCUUGGHGYGUGUGCGCAUMUCCUUCCCAACCCGACCGAURCACACCCACCUCUGCGCCCCCUCACGGGGA